GACGAACGCUGGCGGUGUGCUUAACACAUGCAAGUCGAACGGUAAGGCCCUUUCGGGGGUACACGAGUGGCGAACGGGUGAGUAACACGUGAGUAACCUGCCCUCAUCUCUGGGAUAACAGUCGGAAACGGUUGCUAAUACUGGAUAUGAGCUUGCAAGGCAUCUUUUGGGUUGGAAAGAUUUUUUUGGUUGGGGAUGGACUCGCGGCCUAUCAGCUUGUUGGUGAGGUAGUGGCUCACCAAGGCUUCGACGGGUAGCCGGCCUGAGAGGGCGACCGGCCACAUUGGGACUGAGAUACGGCCCAAACGCCUACGGGAGGGAGCAGUGGGGAAUAGUGAAAAAUGGACGGAAGUCUGAUGCAGCAACGCCGCGUGCGGGAUGACGGCCUUCGGGUUGGAAACCGCUUUCAAUUGUGACGAAGCUUUUUGUGACGGUAGCAGUAGAAGAAGCACCGGCUAACUACGUG
rnacentral:rRNA from 1 species